ACGGAAGGCAGCAGUGGGGGAUAUUGGACAAUGGGGGAAACCCUGAUCCAGCGACGCCGCGUGAGUGAAGAAGUAUUUCGGUACGUAAAGCUCUAUCAGCAAGGAAGAAAAUGACGGUACUUGACUAAGAAGCUCCGGCUAAAUACGUGCCAGCAGCCGCGGCAAUACGUAUGGAGCAAGCGUUAUCCGGAUUUACUGGGUGUAAAGGGAGCGUAGACGGCAAAGCAAGUCUGAAGUGAAAUCCCGGGGCUCAACCCCGGAACUGCUUUGGAAACUGUUUAGCUAGAGUGCAGGAGAGGUAAGCGGAAUUCCUAGUGUAGCGGUGAAAUGCGUAGAUAUUAGGAGGAACACCAGUGGCGAAGGCGGCUUACUGGACUGUAACUGACGUUGAGGCUCGAAAGCGUGGGGAGCAAACAGGAUUAGAUACCCUGGUA
rnacentral:rRNA from 1 species